UGCGAAGGGGGCUAGCGUUGCUCGGAAUCACUGGGCGUAAAGCGCACGUAGGCGGCUUCUUAAGUCAGGGGUGAAAUCCUGGAGCUCAACUCCAGAACUGCCUUUGAUACUGGCGAUCUCGAGUCCGGGAGAGGUGAGUGGAACUGCGAGUGUAGAGGUGAAAUUCGUAGAUAUUCGCAAGAACACCAGUGGCGAAGGCGGCUCACUGGCCCGGUACUGACGCUGAGGUGCGAAAGCGUGGGGAGCAAACAGG
rnacentral:rRNA from 1 species